CUGUGUCCGUCUUAACAUAUCCUGUUGUGUUAUUAAAUCUAGAGUCUAGAUCUAUUUAAAAUUGUGUUUGUCAUAAAUUGUAAACAUCUGUUUCUCUCUUUUUUUUUGUGAGUGUGGAUUUAAAAUUCAGUUUAUAUGAAACUAUUUAUUAUUAAUUGUAUGCACUAACCGUUGAGAUUUGGAGACUUAAGAAUAAACUCCUAAAGGCCAGGAGUCGCCGCUCCAAGAUGGCCACAGUGGGAGAAACUGUACCAAUCAGUACACAUACUAUAGACAAAGUGACCAAGGCGAAAGUCACCUUAGAGAACUACUACACAAACCUGGUCUCACAGAAUGACGAGAGAGAAAGCAG
rnacentral:sRNA from 1 species